GAUGAACGCUGGCGGCGUGCCUAAUACAUGCAAGUCGAGCGAACAGACGAGGAGCUUGCUCCUUCGACGUUAGCGGCGGACGGGUGAGUAACACGUAGGUAACCUACCUAUAAGACUGGGAUAACUUCGGGAAACCGGAGCUAAUACCGGAUAAUAUUUCGAACCGCAUGGUUCGAUAGUGAAAGAUGGCUUUGCUAUCACUUAUAGAUGGACCUGCGCCGUAUUAGCUAGUUGGUAAGGUAACGGCUUACCGAGGCAACGAUACGUAGCCGACCUGAGAGGGUGAUCGGCCACACUGGAACUGAGACACGGUCCAGACUCCUACGAGAGGCAGCAGUAGGGAAUCUUCCGCAAUGGGCGAAAGCCUGACGGAGCAACGCCGCGUGAGUGAUGAAGGUCCUCGGAUCGUAAAACUCUGUUAUUAGGGAAGAACAAACGUGUAAGUAACUGUGCACGUCUUGACGGUACCUAAUCAGAAAGCCACGGCUAACUACGUG
rnacentral:rRNA from 1 species